rnacentral:lncRNA from 1 species
UCUUGAUAAAUCCUUUGUGAACACACAGUAAAACUGAUGAGGCCAUUUCCAGGUCUGGCUAUCAUCAACAGAGUCCUCCCUUGGUGGCAUCUCUUGGGACUUUGGUGGGGACAUGCCUGGAUGCCUUCCGAUUCCUCCAUUCAGCCAGCACGAGUGAAGAAGAGCGGAGACACUGAGGCAGAGACAAGCUGUCCUUGGGGUUCUCCGCUGGGGGGAGACCAGGCAUGGAGGGGACCCAUAUGUCUCCAUUCCCAGUCAAGCGCUCCAGACCUCCAGGGCCUUGAUGAGGCUGUUAAGGAAACACAUUAAACACUGCACUUCUGAAGCCGCCUGGGGUGAUUAAAACCCGAGCUGUGAUUAAAGGAGGUUGGAU